rnacentral:rRNA from 1 species
UGGGUAACCUGCCUUAUAGUGGGGGAGUAGCCUUUCGAAAGGAAGAUUAAUACCGCAUAAGGUUGUAGUAUCGCAUGAUAUAGCAAUUAAAGGAAGCAAUUCGCUAUAAGAUGGACCCGCGUCGCAUUAGCUAGUUGGUGAGGUAAUGGCUCACCAAGGCGACGAUGCGUAGCCGACCUGAGAGGGUGAUCGGCCACAUUGGGACUGAGACACGGCCCAGACUCCUACGGGAGGCAGCAUG